rnacentral:rRNA from 1 species
GGGCCCGCACAAGCAGUGGAGUAUGUGGUUUAAUUCGACGAUACGCGAAGAAUCUUACCAAGUCUUGACAUCCAGCUAACGAAGUAGAAAUACAUUAGGUGCCCUUCGGGGAAAGCUGAGACAGGUGGUGCAUGGUUGUCGUCAGCUCGUGUCGUGAGAUGUUGGGUUAAGUCCCGCAACGAGCGCAACCCUUGCUGUUAGUUGCUACGAAAGAGCACUCUAGCAGGACUGCCGUUGACAAAACGGAGGAAGGUGGGGACGACGUCAAAUCAUCAUGCCCUUUAUGACUUGGGCUACACACGUACUACAAUGGUCGAAACAGAGGGAAGCCAAGGAGCGAUCUCGGAGCCAACCCCUUAAAAGCGACCUCAGUUCAGAUUGCAGGCUGAAAUUCGCCUGUAUGAAGUUGGAAUUGCUAGUAAUCGCGAAUCAGAAUGUCG